GAGAGGCUGGCACGUGAGUGAGGAUGGCCCACCCGGCUCCCCACUCUUGAUGUCACGCUUCCCCCUCCCCUCGGCCUGCAGCCUCUGUCUCAGAUUAGUGCGAAUUUGUCACUCCUGCAAGUGAACUGUGAUACUUAGGAUGAUGAGAGAAGUCGCAAAAUGAACCGGAAUGUUCACACAAAUUAUAGAAGAAAACCCGAUCUAAAUUUGUUAAGUAGUUCUUUCAUGAAAAGCGGACAGAUAGACAGACGUUGGAUUUUAUAUUUACAGAGACUGGUCCCCGCAGCUCCGCCCGUGUAGUAGU